GGAGAGAUGACCGAGUGGUUUAUGGUACCUGUCUUGAAAACAGGCGUACGAAAGUACCGGGGGUUCGAAUCCCUCUCUCUCCGCCA
rnacentral:tRNA from 1 species